CUACGGGUCGCAGCAGUGAGGAAUUUUGCGCAAUGGGGGAAACCCUGACGCAGCAACGCCGCGUGAGCGAAGAAGGCCUUCGGGUCGUAAAGCUCUGUCAAGUGGGAAAAAAAUUCUUUGAUGAACAGUCAAAGGACUUGAUGGUACCACUGGAGGAAGCACCGGCUAACUCCGUGCCAGCAGCCGCGGUAAUACGGAGGGUGCAAGCGUUGUUCGGAAUUACUGGGCGUAAAGAGCGUGUAGGCGGUUUGACAAGUCAGAUGUGAAAGCCCCGGGCUCAACCCGGGAAGUGCAUUUGAAACUGUUUCACUAGAGUAUGGGAGAGGAGAUUGGAAUUCCUGGUGUAGAGGUGAAAUUCGUAGAUAUCAGGAGGAACACCCGUGGCGAAGGCGAUUCUCUGGACCAAUACUGACGCUGAGACGCGAAAGCGUGGGGAGCAAACAGGAUUAGAUACCCGCGUAGUC
rnacentral:rRNA from 1 species